rnacentral:rRNA from 1 species
UACAGAGGGGGCAAGCGUUAUUCGGAAUUAUUGGGCGUAAAGGGCGCGUAGGCGGCAUGGCAAGUGGAUGGUGAAAUCCCUCGGCUUAACCGAGGAACUGCCGUCCAAACUGCUUCGCUUGAGACCGGGAGAGGUGAGUGGAAUUCCCAGUGUAGCGGUGAAAUGCGUAGAUAUUGGGAGGAACACCAGUGGCGAAAGCGGCUUCCUGGUCCGACACCGACGUUCAGGCACGAAAGCGUGGGGAGCAAACAGG